GACAGAGGAUGCAAGCGUUAUCCGGAAUGAUUGGGCGUAAAGCGUCUGUAGGUGGCUUUUUAAGUCCGCCGUCAAAUCCCAGGGCUCAACCCUGGACAGGCGGUGGAAACUACCAAGCUGGAGUACGGUAGGGCAGAGGGAAAUUUCCGGUGGAGCGGUGGAAAUGCGUAGAGAUCGGAAAGAACACCAACGGCGAAAGCAACUCUGCUGGGCCGACACUGACACUGAGAGACGAAAGCUAGGGGAGCGAAUGG
rnacentral:rRNA from 1 species